rnacentral:lncRNA from 1 species
AUCCUUAAAAAAAUCUCAUCCACUUGGGUGCCUCUGCCAGAAACAGACCAGUUUCACAGAGCAUGAUGUGGUCUACACGAUGUGUGCAGCAGUCUCUACCUGGGAGGAGAUCGCUACCUCAGUGCUGCUCGGUGAACAAAGCCAUGACUUCUCAUCAUCCUCGAGAAAUUUUACCAGAGCGGGGAAUAAAAGAGAGAGAGAGAGAGGGAAGAUAUGGAAAGUAUGACCUUGACCAUUUACAACUAAGAAAACAAUGGGAAAAUAUAGGUGAGAGUAAAGUUCAAAAAUUGUAUUUUAAUGGACAAAACCAAUUA